UACAGAGGGUGCGAGCGUUGUCCGGAAUCACUGGGCGUAAAGGGCGCGUAGGUGGCGGCUUAAGCGUGCGGUGAAAGCUCGGAGCUCAACUCCGAGUCGGCCGUGCGAACUGGGCUCACUGGAGCAUAGUAGAGGCAGGUGGAAUUCCGGGUGUAGCGGUGGAAUGCGUAGAGAUCCGGAAGAACACCGGUGGCGAAGGCGGCCUGCUGGGCUAUGGCUGACACUGAGGCGCGACAGCGUGGGGAGCAAACAGG
rnacentral:rRNA from 1 species